rnacentral:rRNA from 1 species
GACGAACGCCGGCGGCGUGCUUAACACAUGCAAGUCGAACGGAGUGGCGAACGGGUGAGUAACACGUGGGUGAUCUGCCUUGCACGUUGGGAUAAGCUUGGGAAACCGGGUCCAAUACCGGAUAGUGUAAGAUGAGCACGCGGCCUAUCAGCUUGUUGGUGGGGUAAUGGCCUACCAAGGCGUCGACGGGUAGCCGGCCUGAGAGGGUGUACGGCCACAUUGAAACUGAGAUACGGCCCAGACUCCUACGGGAGGCAGCAAUGGGGAAUAUUGCACAAUGGGCGGAAGCCUGAUGCAGCAACGCCGAGUGGGGGAUGAGGGCCUUCGGGUUGUAGACUCCUUUCGGCAGGGACACAGUACCUGUAUAAGGAGCACCGGCUAACUACGUGCCAGCAGCCGCGGUAAUAC